UCCUGGGGAGCGGAAGGAUGUGUGUGAACUUGUGGGGAAGGAAAAAAUGGACAAGGUUGAUGUUGCUGACCUUCAGUGUGGAAGCCUGAUCAUUACUGUCGUUUGAGAUGGCUGUGUGGGAAGAAAAGGCAGUGUGGGGAAAAAAAGGAGACUUAAACCUGCAUUGUCCAUGUUAGCCACAUUUCUCAUUGCCUCCAAAAGGAGUUUUGUUCGGGAAGUGCAAAGCAGGCCUGUGCCGGCAUCACCCCUGGAGCAGAAAUCCCCUACCCAUGGCACUCUCAUCCCCCUGCCCCUCGCUGCAAACUCCUGUGAAGCUCCGGAAGCUGCGUCACCUUGGGAACAGAGAAGGGAGUGGAAGUUGCCCAUUGGACCAGGAGGAGACUUCCAGUGUCUGAUCCCUGGGAGCUGCAAUCAGCUGAGGUUUCUGCAGCUCUUGCCAUACAUGCACAAAUGUGACAAGGAGAGAAGUAACUCCGAUCUGGCAGCUUGUGUCCUGAAGCAGAAAUCAAAGUUGUUUAUGUGAUUUCAGGCUAAUCUCUGCCAAUUUUUCAUCUGACAAAGUGCUUCUAUUUACCCUGAGCAACUCCAAGGACAGCUUCCUUAAUAAUGUUUAUAUUGUUGGACUCUCAGUUACCAGUAUUAACAAAGGAAGUUGAAAACAACUCUGCAUCUCCAUCUUUCAUCCUUGCAUGAUCACAAACUUCCCAUUCCACCUCCCAAGAAAUGCUGUUUGCUGCUGGUGGAAAGCUUUCUGAUGGUUUUCCAGGUUCCACAUGGUCUGGCAGAGUGUGUUAUCCUCUGGCCACCCCUUGGUCUCCCUUGUUAGUGGUUUUCUGACUCACCCUGGGUGGGAGCUUGGCUGCUCCAGCCGGUGGAAACGUGGGUAAUUGAAAAGGCUGAAGUAGUGAGUGGUGUUAUAAUUAACUGGCUGUAUUAAGCAUUUUACAGUUCUGACACCUCGCAAGAGUAGAAGUUUAAUGAGAAUGGAGAGAGGCUCAAAAGCAAUCCAUUUUCCCAGUAAAGAUUGUAAUGAAGGUGUGAAAUGAUGCACAGCUAACUAAACCUGUCUGUAAUAGCCUCUCUGUUGUAAUGUAGUGAUCUGACAGACUUUGGAAAAACAAUACAGUGCAUAUGUUUCUAUAGAUUAUAUAUUUUAUAUAUAUCUUUCCUUGCAGUGCUAAUGUAUCAUGCAGUUUGACUGGGUGUGCCAUGUGUAGGUCAGGUGCCAAAAUGUGUAAAGAACUGAUUGUUGACAAAGAUUGCUCAUUUGCAGUGUAAAGAUGAAUGCAGCCCAAGGAAUGUCCCAGAAAAUGUCCCAGAGAGGACAUUCAAGUGGAGCACAAGGGGCUCUGAAUGUCUGUGCCAGGGCCAGCUGUGACACAGCACAAAGGACUUCUGUGGCCCAUUUGCACCAACACGGCCUCCUCACUACGGUCCUGUCAGGAAUUCCUUGGUAUCUGCCUGGAGGGGAAGAAAGAGCAAAGGUAUUUUCUCACUAUUGCUUCAGAAGAGGCUCAGUCUCUGUUUCCCAGUUUAAAAUCCAACAGCAGCAGCUGUAAACAGAGUGUACUCUCCACAGCAAAACCCUGUCAUUGCAUCUCUCUAUCUUCAUUUGCAAGGAAUGCGUCAGAUUCGGGUGGGUGCGGAGGGAACGGGAAUGAGGAUGGCACGCAUCA